UACGUAGGGACCAAGCGUUGUUCGGAUUUACUGGGCGUAAAGGGCGCGUAGGCGGCGUGUUAAGUCAGCUGUGAAAUCUCCGAGCUUAACUCGGAACGGUCAGCUGAUACUGAUGUGCUAGAGUGCAGAAGGGGCAAUCGGAAUUCUUGGUGUAGCGGUGAAAUGCGUAGAUAUCAAGAGGAACACCUGAGGUGAAGACGGGUUGCUGGGCCGACACUGACGCUGAGUGCGCGAAAGCCAGGGGAGCAAACGGG
rnacentral:rRNA from 1 species